GAUGAACGCUGGCGGCGUGCCUAAUACAUGCAAGUCGAGCGAACAGACGAGGAUCUUGCUCCUCGCACGAUUGCCGCGCACGGGUGAGAAACACGUGUAUAACCUACCUAUAAGACUGAGAACACUUCGAGACACCGGAUCUAAUCCCGGAGAAUAUAUUGAACCGCAGGGGGCAAUAGAGAAAGACGGCGUUGCUGGCACGUAUAGAGGCUUCCGCGCUGCAUUAGCUAGUUGUUAAGGUAACGGCUUAGCAAGGCAACGAUGCGUAGCCGACCUAAGGGGGUGAUCGGCCACACUGGAGCUGAGACGCGGUCCAGGGGACUACGGGAGGCAGCAGUCGGGAACCUUACGCAAUGGGCGAGAGCCUGACGCAGCGAGGGCGAGUGAGUUAUGAAGGUCCUCGGAUCGUGAUACUCUGUUAUUAGUGAAGAACCAAUGUGGAAGUAACUAUGCCCGUCUUGACGGUAACGAAUCAGGAAGCCCCGGCUAACUACGUG
rnacentral:rRNA from 1 species